rnacentral:rRNA from 1 species
CGUACACUCCUACGGGAGGCAGCAGUGGGGAAUAUUGCACAAUGGGCGCAAGCCUGAUGCAGCCAUGCCGCGUGUAUGAAGAAGGCCUUCGGGUUGUAAAGUACUUUCAGCGGGGAGGAAGGCAAUACGGUUAAUAACCGUGUUGAUUGACGUUACCCGCAGAAGAAGCACCGGCUAACUCCGUGCCAGCAGCCGCGGUAAUACGGAGGGUGCAAGCGUUAAUCGGAAUUACUGGGCGUAAAGCGCACGCAGGCGGUCUGUCAAGUCGGAUGUGAAAUCCCCGGGCUCAACCUGGGAACUGCAUUCGAAACUGGCAGGCUUGAUUCUUGUAGAGGGGGGUAGAAUUCCAGGUGUAGCGGUGAAAUGCGUAGAGAUCUGGAGGAAUACCGGUGGCGAAGGCGGCCCCCUGGACAAAGACUGACGCUCAGGUGCGAAAGCGUGGGGAGCAAACAGGAUUAGAAACCCGUGUAGUCCCAU